AAAAAANNNNCCGCAGGCGCUACCUGCAGUCGACGGUAACGGAAGCAGCUUGCUGCUUCGCUGACGAGUGGCGGACGGGUGAGUAAUGUCUGGGAAACUGCCUGAUGGAGGGGGAUAACUACUGGAAACGGUAGCUAAUACCGCAUAACGUCGCAAGACCAAAGAGGGGGACCUUCGGGCCUCUUGCCAUCGGAUGUGCCCAGAUGGGAUUAGCUAGUAGGUGGGGUAACGGCUCACCUAGGCGACGAUCCCUAGCUGGUCUGAGAGGAUGACCAGCCACACUGGAACUGAGACACGGUCCAGACUCCUACGGGAGGCAGCAGUGGGGAAUAUUGCACAAUGGGCGCAAGCCUGAUGCAGCCAUGCCGCGUGUAUGAAGAAGGCCUUCGGGUUGUAAAGUACUUUCAGCGGGGAGGAAGGUGAUGAGGUUAAUAACCUUGUCAAUUGACGUUACCCGCAGAAGAAGCACCGGCUAACUCCGUGCCAACAGCANCGGUAAUAAAA
rnacentral:rRNA from 1 species